GGCCACAUCUGCCAGAGCCUGGAGUCUGCGAAGGCCGGGACCCGGUUCCCCGGCCCGCCGUGGGGAGUGUGCAAACCCGAGAGAACUGGUCGCUGAAACCUCUACAACUUAGUUGACCGUAACUGCCAGAGCCCUGCCCUGAAUUCCUGUCCUUACUCCCUCUUUCAGAUUGCGUACCCACUGCAGAGGGCUGAAGACGGGGUAGCCACGAGGUUGCAAAUUCGUGAAGAAUCAGCAGCAUGUUUGGCAGCUGAGUAUUGGAGCCAGGAGCCUGCCAUGAGGUUAUAUUCCCAGAGGAUGUCAGUCCCAAGGACCAGUAGCUGCCAUCAGUUUGGAUUCUGAAAACUAACCGGCAUCAACAUUGGGUGUAGAAACAUGCUUGCCUUGUGUAUCAGAGGACAUGCUCAGCAGAUCCAAGAGAUAUAUUUGGCAACUUUUUCUAGAAAAGGCACAUUAGGUAUCAUUCAUUACAUUCUUGAGUUUUUUUGGGGUUUUUUUUUUUUUUGAGACAGUCUUGCUGUGUUGCCCAGGCUGGAGUGUGGUGGCACAAUCACAGCUCAUUGCAGCCUCAAUCACCCAGGCCUAAGCAAUCCUCCCACCUUGUAGCUGGGACUACAGCUCACAGCACACCUGGCUAAAAUUUUUUUUUGUUGAGACGGAUUCUCUAUGUUGCUCAGGCUGGUCUCAAGCUCCUGGGCUUAGAUGGUCCUCCUGCCUCAGCUUCCAAAGGCACAGGCCAAGUUGUAGCUUUGUCCCUUGCCAUCAUGCCCAACAAGAGGUUCUAUACCUUUUAAUGAACUGACUUUCAUAAAUUGGUUAUGUUGGUGGGCAAGUUCUUUAAGCUGGAAAUUGUAAAUUCCUCCUGAAAUGUUUUUUCAUGCAGUUACCAUGAACUAAUACUACAAUAAAGGAUGGUCUUGGGUGUCAAUUCUU
rnacentral:antisense_RNA from 1 species